UACGUAGGCAGCAAGCGUUGUUCGGAGUUACUGGGCGUAAAGGGUGUGUAGGCGGCUCUUUAAGUUUGGUGUGAAAUCUCCCGGCUCAACUGGGAGGGUGCGCCGAAUACUGAGGGACUAGAGUACGGGAGAGGAAAGUGGAAUUCCUGGUGUAGCGGUGAAAUGCGUAGAUAUCGGGAGGAACACCGGUGGUGUAGACGGCUUUCUGGACCGACACUGACGCUGAAACACGAAAGCGUGGGUAGCAAACAGG
rnacentral:rRNA from 1 species